AACGUAGGAGACAAACGUUAUCCGGAGUUACUGGGCGUAAAGGGCGUGUAGGCGGUUUGUUAAGUCUGGCGUGAAAGCUCUCGGCUAAACCGGGAGAGGUCGUUGGAUACUGGCAAACUAGAGGACGGUAGAGGCGUGUGGAAUUCCGGGUGUAGUGGUGAAAUGCGUAGAGAUCGGGAGGAACAUCAGUGGCGAAGGCGGCUGCCUGGCCCAAUACUGACACUCAGGUGCGACAGCGUGGGGAGCAAACAGG
rnacentral:rRNA from 1 species